rnacentral:misc_RNA from 1 species
GAAUAUUGUUGAGGCGACGAGAAAGGAAAAUAAGCAAGUAAAAAGAUGAUAAUAAAUGGUAACAUUUGAAGGAGGAGAAUUAAAUUAGGUCCAGAGGAACCUAAAUUCUGCCUCUGGUGGCGGACAUUGGUCCUUGACCUGUAGACAUAAGAGGUCCUAAACAUUUCCGACUGACCAAAAAAUGCCCUUAUAAUCUCAUCAUCAUCAAAAUCAUCUUCAAAAAAUUCGUGGUCCAUUCUUCUCCUUCGACGUCUAAGAUUAUACUGCUGAUUAAACUCAAAUUCAUCCACCAAACCAGUCUCAUCAUACUGCCUUCUUGAAUCAUCAUCACUCAAACACUUAAAUGCCUUGGAUACUUUCUUAAAGGCCUCUUCAGAUCCAGGAGCCUUGUUUUUGUCGGGAUGAACUUUCAAGGAGAGCUUCCUGUAUGCCUUCCUUAUCUCCUCAACUGAACAGCUCUUUUCUAGACCUAGAAUUGCAUAAUAG